AAGCCCCAUAACUCCUCAUCCAUCUCAUUGGUAUCCUGUGAGCCACGUCGAAGAAGUUGUCCCCAAGAAUCAUGCAGAGAAUGCCGUCAUGUGAGUAGAGAGAGGAGAAGCCACCACCGUGGAACUUUGCCUGCGUAACCGUUCAGGGCAUGAGGACUAGCCUGGGAGCUUCAUGGCAUCCCCAUGUUAGUUCUCUUGGUCGUUCCAAGGAGGAGUCACGGCCGGUGAAGCUAGGAUUGCUUGUCGGAGCAAUUCACCGCCUCGGAUUUGUGUGCUACCGUGGGCGGAGGUCUAUGCUACAUAAUCACUGGACGUUGGGCAAGGACUCGCCGGAGAUCGCCGCCGCGCCUAGCUACCAAAGGAGGAAGGAGCAUCAUGCGCCGUUGAUCUCCACGGAGAUGGCUUAGAUUAUAUAUAAUUUAUAUCGGUUCAGUGGUGUGUUCUGCUUCGUCGAUCAUGGAUCCGACGCGUGGGGUGACGUACCGGUUCGUGAAGAAGGGGAUCGAAAUCCUGGCUGUCGAUCUUGAAUCGAACUACCGAUAGAUGCAUGGACUUAAGUCGUCGUGCCUUUUGCAUAAAACCCCUUUGAGUUUUAAGGAACUAAACCACCGUCCAUUAUAUUAUAAAGAGUCUUACGCGGGAGUCCUGAUUUUUUCA